UGCUGAAGAGGAGUGAGUGAACUUAACCACUAUGACAGUGGGCUGGCCCCUGAGAGAUCAAUAUUUUAGAAAAGAGUAGAACCUUUGCUGGAAAAUAGUAAGAGUAACAACAAAAAUAGUAAGCAUUUCUUGAGGUGCUUAUAUGUUAGGCAUUAAGCAUAUUUUCUAAUACCUUACUUACUUCUAACAACAAACUUCUAAACAGGUCUUAAUACUAUUACUCCUAUUUUAGAAGGAAAUUGGGGCAUAUGGAGGUUAAAUAACUUGUCCAAGGUCACUCAGUAGAAUGUGAAGCUAACUAGCCUGAGUCUAAAACCUACACCCUUAACCAUGACACAAAGUAGCCUCUUUAAGGGAAAAGCAGAUCUAGAAGGAAUAACCAAGUUUUCUCUCUCAAGUUCGUCUUAUUAUUUUAAAAUAUAGGUUAUAUCAUUUGGGUGUGGUGAGGCCAACAGAUCAGUUCAACUGGCACUGAAAGACUGUUGAUUAUACUCAGAUUCCAAGGGAAGGGGGCAAUCCAUGCCCCGGGGGCCGGCAGAGCACAGAGGCAGCACAAGGAGGGAGAGAAAGAGGAGAAAUGAUGAGCAAGAGCCUUUACUGUGGUUUUUGUGUGAAGGAAUGGGCAAGGCAAGGUUGUUCUCAUCUCAAAUGAUUCCUCUUUCACUGGCGGCUUGAAGUUUCAUAGAACUACACUCUCUUCAAUCUGGAAACACAAAUCUGGAUUUUUUUUUUUUCCUGUGAAUAUAUUUUGGAGUGGUUCAACUCCUCCAAACCUUCACAGAACUAGUGUUCCUAUGAUCUACAGACUCAACGAUUUUUCUGUUUCUUCAUCCUUAAGAGAG